rnacentral:rRNA from 1 species
CCUACGGGUGGCAGCAGUGAGGAAUAUUGGUCAAUGGGCGCGAGCCUGAACCAGCCAAGUCGCGUGAGGGAAGACGGUCCUAUGGAUUGUAAACCUCUUUUGUCGGGGAGCAAAAGACGCCACGCGUGGCGUUCCGAGAGUACCCGAAGAAAAAGCAUCGGCUAACUCCGUGCCAGCAGCCGCGGUAAUACGGAGGAUGCGAGCGUUAUCCGGAUUUAUUGGGUUUAAAGGGGGCGUAGGUGGAUUGUUAAGUCAGUUGUGAAAGUUUGCGGCUCAACCGUAAAAUUGCAGUUGAAACUGGUUUUCUUGAGUGAGCGAGAAGUAUGCGGAAUGCGUGGUGUAGCGGUGAAAUGCAUAGAUAUCACGCAGAACUCCGAUUGCGAAGGCAGCAUACCGGCGCUCAACUGACGCUCAUGCACGAAAGUGUGGGUAUCGAACAGGAUUAGAUACCCUAGUAGUC